rnacentral:lncRNA from 1 species
AGAUCGGACGGCCCAGAUCAAUCGCGCGCACGGACGGCCCAGAUUAAUCGCACGGACGACCCAGAUUUAAUAAAAAACGGACGGCCCAGAUUAAAUCAAAAUGGACAGUUAAGAUCAAAAGGCAAAAGGGUAUAAAUAGAACCCCCACACCAGACCACAAAACCCUAGCCACCUGCCCUCGCCAGAGAAGACGAACCAGAAGCCGGCCGCUGCCACCCGCCGCCGCACCGGGGAGAUUUCCGACCGCCGAUCGAGGUAAAUUUUAUACCCCCGACUCGUUUUU